AGGCUUAUAGUUCAGUUGGUAGAACAUGUCGCUCAUAACGGUAUAGUCGUAGGUUCAAAUCCUACUAAGCCUA
rnacentral:tRNA from 1 species